GCGGGUUUAGCUCAGUUGGGAGAGCGUCAGACUGAAGUCCACUUCAAUCAAUACAUCUGAAGGUCAUGUGUUCGAUCCACAUAAACCGCA